UUUCUGCUUUGAGCAACAGCCUCCCAUCUACCCCCGGGGGUGCCCACACAAAUACGAUUUCGUAUGUGUGCCCUUUUGUGCAAGAUCUUGGGAAGCACGGCUUUGGGGGCAAAGACAGUGCCAUUCUUGGCCGUUUGGGAGAAAUGCAUCUGUUUUGUGCAGAUAAGAAAACAGUGGUUUGGCGUGUUUCGUUGCCUGGUGAAAUUACCCGGUGGUUCCGUCGCUUCCAGAUCAAUCUGAGUGUGAGCCAUCGGCAACCCGUGCACAGCGUGUGGCCGGCUGAAAAUGCAUCAUCUCUCGACGUGAAGCUCAGCUAUUUUUCUCCAGCUUGGGUUGUUGUGUUGUUUUCUGCUUCCUCCUACAGCCUCUUCACGUCCUCUUGGGGACGUGCUCGGUGACAUAGCACAGCUGCACAUGCGGCCGUUCUUUUUCUUCCCGAAAUGAGGGGAAGGCUCUGUGGCUCCAGUGCCCUGUGAUGCAGGCCGUCCAAGAGAUGUCACAGUACGACGGUCGGGACCCCCGUUUCGGCAGAGGUGGCACCACCCGUGCCUGAGGGUGAUGGUGACAGCUUACAGUAGGUGUCCGAUUGUGACACAUGGGUGAAAUGGAAGUCACAAUUCCUUUCGGGGGGAUUUACAAGCUGUCGAUCGAACCAUCCGGGAUUCAUUCACAUUCUGCUGAGGUUUUGUGUUCUCUUCCUACGGGUAAUGAAUGAGGUGCGGGCAGCAUAGAGGGGUCGAAGCCAGAGCACAAUCCGUGGUCGGUAAAGUGCGUUCGGUCAACAAAUAUUUACGGGAGAUCUCUGUGUCGGGCACUGAGCCGUGUGCUGGGGUGCUUUACUCGGCAAGAUGGUGAGAAAAGUUAUUGUAAAGGCCCAAAGAAAUUCUUAUGAACAAAAGCUGGAGGUGUUUUGAAGUUACUUAGAGGUGGUUAUUUGAAGGAGAACGUAUAAGGCGUACCUGGGUGGCUCAGUCGGUUAAGCGUCUGACUUCAGCUGAUGUCAUGAUCUCACAGUUUGUGGGUUUGAGCCUCGAGUCAGGCUCUGUGCUGACAGCUCAGGGCCUGGAGCCUACUUCACAUUCUGUGUCUCCCUCUCUCUCUGCCCCUCCCCUGAUCACACUCUGUCUCUCUCUCUCAAAAAUGAAUAAACAUUGGGUCGCCUGAGUGGCUCAGUCGGUUGAGCAUCCGACUUCAGCUCAGGUCACGAUCUCGUGGUCCGUGAGUUCGAGCCCCGCGUCGGGCUCUGGGCUGAUGGCUCAGAGCCUGGAGCCUGCUUCCGAUUCUGUGUCUCUCUCUCUCUCUCUCUCUCUCUGCUCCUCCCCCGUUCAUGCUCUGUCUCUCUCUGUCUCAAAAAUAAAUAAACGUUAAAAAAAAUUUUUUUUAAAUGAAUAAACAUUAAAAUUUUUUUUAAAAAUAAAGGAAAAUGUAUAAUGGCGUCUGUCUUCCGUGUUUGUAAAUGCGUGUGGCCGAAUCCUCUCCAGACUUGUGGGCUUGACUCUGGGCGUUAGCAGAGCUCCGAACAGGUACAAUUGGGGACCAUCGUGUGUCCCAGUAUUUAGGAAUAUAAAUCAGCCUACCAACGGUUAAAUAAAAUAUGCUCUGUCUUCUUACUUUUUUUUUUUUUAAUCUUUAUUUAUUUUUGAGAGAGAGAGAGAGUGCACACUCGCGUGAGCAGGGGAGGGGCAGGGGGAGGGUAUAGAGGAUUCAAAGUAGGCUCUGUGCUGACAGCAUGGAACCGGCUUGGGAUUCUCUCUCUCCCCCUCUCUGCCCCUUACCUGUGCUCGCUCUCUCUCUCUCUCAAAAUAAAUAUAAAUAAACUUAAAAAAAAAAAAACCCACACGUUCGUAAGGACAACUGAAAAACGUGUAAAGCUGUGAUUUGUACAUGACCAAAGUUUGGCAGCUGUCCCAAAGCGGCUGCAUUAACUAUUACUACACGUGCUUAAAUGUUCCUUUGUUCUGUUUGAAUGACUAACAAAAUGAAGGCGCAUAAUUUGUAAUUAUUUCAUGUUUAUUUCCUUAAAUUUUUGUCUUCAGCUCAGCAUGGUCACGAAUUCUGUCAUUGUUGCAAAUGUGUUCACAUAAGUUUGUUCUGUCAACGGCAGUGAGCUCAAGGAUUUAAAAAAUCUUCCGACUCUCACCCAGUGGCUAACAGAAGGGAUCCGUAUCAUGCAUCACACAUGGACUGUUUAGACCCACACAGACACGGGGUUGAGGGUGACAGGAAUUGUGAGGCGCAUCAUCACGUUUCUCAGCUGCCAUGUUGGUGCAAAUAUCGUGGUAAUUCCCCAGUAGCUACAGGACCAGGAGUUGAAGCCAGGAAAUGGCCACAGUACGACCCACAGACCUUCAUGUCUUGCAGACGAUCCUGAGCUCUAUCCACCCGAUAACUUCACCUGGACUCCGGAUUCCUUCUCCUGGCUGAUGAUGGUUGUCCUGGGAGCUUCCCUGCCUCCCUCAAUCCCUGAGAAUACAAAGCAAAAGAUAUGGAGAAGGGGUUUGAAAUUCUCGUUCCUGAGGGUCUGACAGGUUGAGACAGACAUUCCCACCUAGAGAGAGAGCAUAUGGGCAAAGUUAAAAAAAAAAAAAAAAAAAAAAGGUGAAUGCAGGGGCGCCUGGGAGACUCAGUCAGUUGAGCGUCCAACUCUUGGUUUCAGUUCAGGUCAUGAUCCCAGGGUUGUGGGAUCGAGCCCUGUGUCGGCCUCUGCACCGACAGCAUGGAGUCUAUUUGAGAUUCUUUCUCUCUCUGCUCCUUUCCCGCUCUUUCUCUCUCUCUCUCUCUCUCUCUCUGUCUCUAAAGUAAGAAAAAGAAAAGAAAAGAAAGAAAUAACGAAGGCGGGAGUAGAUGGCAAGGCCCACACAACAUUUCUGGUGGGUGUCCGUGUAACAGAGGCUUACCAGGUCAGGUCAGAUGCUCUCAGGUCAGGACGCCAUGACCAGCCUUGCCGGGCCCCGCUGGCCCCAGUCCCUCCAAUCACCUGGCAGCCUCACACUUUGAGAAGGUCCCAAGGCUCUCACGAUGAAAACGCGUGACCGUAACAACUCCUGCGAUUCAUGUGUC